UAGGGAAUCUUCCGCAAUGGACGAAAGUCUGACGGAGCAACGCCGCGUGAGUGAAGAAGGAUUUCGGUUCGUAAAACUCUGUUGUUAGGGAAGAAAAAAUGUAUAGUAACUAUAUACAAAAGAGACGGUACCUAACCAGAAAGCCACGGCUAACUACGUGCCAGCAGCCGCGGUAAUACGUAGGUGGCAAGCGUUGUCCGGAAUUAUUGGGCGUAAAGCGCGCGCAGGUGGUUUAGAAAGUCUGAUGAGAAAGCCCACGGCCCAACCGUGGAGGGUCAUUGGAAGAGAAUAAACUUGAGUGCAGGAGAGAAGAGUGGAGUUCCUAGUGUAGCGGUGAAAUGCGGAGAGAUUAGGAGGAACACCGGUGGCGAAAGCGGCUUUUUGGCCUGCAACUGACACUGAGGCGCGAAAACGUGGGGAGCAGACAGG
rnacentral:rRNA from 1 species